UACAGAGGUGGCAAGCGUUGUUCGGAAUUACUGGGCGUAAAGGGCGCGUAGGCGGUUCGAUAAGUCCCGUGUGAAAUCCCUCGGCUCAACUGAGGAACUGCACGGGAAACUGACGGGCUUGAGUUCGGGAGAGGGAAGCGGAAUUCCGGGUGUAGCGGUGAAAUGCGUAGAUAUCCGGAGGAACACCGGUGGCGAAGGCGGUUCUCUGGGCAUUACCUGACGCUGAGGAGCGAAAGCGUGGGGAGCGAACAGG
rnacentral:rRNA from 1 species